rnacentral:rRNA from 1 species
GGGUUGUGAGGUUAAGCGACUAAGCGUACACGGUGGAUGCCCUGGCAGUCAGAGGCGAUGAAGGACGUGCUAAUCUGCGAUAAGCGUCGGUAAGGUGAUAUGAACCGUUAUAACCGGCGAUUUCCGAAUGGGGAAACCCAGUGUGAUUUGUCACACUAUCAUUAACUGAAUCCAUAGGUUAAUGAGGCGAACCGGGGGAACUGAAACAUCUAAGUACCCCGAGGAAAAGAAAUCAACCGAGAUUCCCCCAGUAGCGGCGAGCGAACGGGGAGGAGCCCAGAGCCUGAAUCAGUGUGUGUGUUAGUGGAAGCGUCUGGAAAGGCGCGCGAUACAGGGUGACAGCCCCGUACACAAAAAUGCACAUACUGUGAGCUCGAUGAGUAGGGCGGGACACGUGGUAUCCUGUCUGAAUAUGGGGGGACCAUCCUCCAAGGCUAAAUACUCCUGACUGACCGAUAGUGAACCAGUACCGUGAGGGAAAGGCGAAAAGAACCCCGGCGAGGGGAGUGAAAAAGAACCUGAAACCGUGUACGUACAAGCAGUGGGAGCCUCUUUAUGGGGUGACUGCGUACCUUUUGUAUAAUGGGUCAGCGACUUAUAUUCUGUAGCAAGGUUAACCGAAUAGGGGAGCCGAAGGGAAACCGAGUCUUAACUGGGCGUUAAGUUGCAGGGUAUAGACCCGAAACCCGGUGAUCUAGCCAUGGGCAGGUUGAAGGUUGGGGUAACACUAACUGGAGGACCGAACCGACUAAUG